GAUGAACGCUAGCGGCAGGCUUAACACAUGCAAGUCGAGGGGUAUAGUUCUUCGGAACUAGAGACCGGCGCACGGGUGCGUAACGCGUAUGCAUUCUACCUUUUACAGGGGGAUAGCCCAGAGAAAUUUGGAUUAAUACCCCAUAGUAUGUUAGAGUGGCAUCAUUUUAACAUUAAAGUUCCAACGGUAAAAGAUGAGCAUGCGUCCCAUUAGCUAGAUGGUAAGGUAACGGCUUACCAUGGCGACGAUGGGUAGGGGUCCUGAGAGGGAGAUCCACCACACUGGUACUGAGACACGGACCAGACUCCUACGGGAGGCAGCAGUGAGGAAUAUUGGACAAUGGGCGCAAGCCUGAUCCAGCCAUGCCGCGUGCAGGAAGACGGUCCUAUGGAUUGUAAACUGCUUUUGUACAGGAAGAAAUACUCCCUCGUGAGGGAGCUUGACGGUACUGUAAGAAUAAGGAUCGGCUAACUCCGUGCCAGCCGCCGCUGUAAUAC
rnacentral:rRNA from 1 species